GACGAACGCUGGCGGCGUGCCUAAUACAUGCAAGUAGAACGCUGAAGGAGGAGCUUGCUUCUCCGGAUGAGUUGCGCACGGGUGAGUAUCGCGUAGGUAACCUGCCUGUUAGCGGGGGAUAACUAUUGGAAACGAUAGCUAAUACCGCAUAAGAGUAGAUGUCGCAUGACAUUUGCUUAAAAGGUGCAACUGCACCACUACCAGAUGGACCUGCGUUGUAUUAGGUAGUUGGUGAGGUAAAGGCUCACCAAGGCAACGAUACAUAGCCGACCUGAGAGGGGGGACGGCCACACUGGGACUGAGACACGGCCCAGACUCCUACGGGAAGCAGCAGUAAGGGAACUUCGGCAAUGGACGGAAGGCUGGCCGGGCAACGCCGCGUGAGUGAAGAAGGUUUUCGGAUCGUAAAGCUCUGUUGUAAGAGAAGAACGAGUGUGAGAGGGGACAGUGCACACUGUGACGGUAUCUUACCAGAAAGGGACGGCUAACUACGUG
rnacentral:rRNA from 1 species